rnacentral:rRNA from 1 species
UACGUAGGGGGCAAGCGUUACCCGGAUUUACUGGGCGUAAAGCGCGUGUAGGCGGCUGGCCAAGUGUGGUGUGAAAUCCCCCGGCUCAACCGGGGAACUGCAUUGCAAACUGGUCUGGCUAGAGUGCAGGAGAGGGAAGUGGAAUUCCCGGUGUAGCGGUGAAAUGCGUAGAUAUCAGGAGGAACACCGGUGGUGUAGACGGCUAUCUGGACCGUAACUGACGCUGAGGCACGAAAGCGUGGGUAGCAAACAGG